UCCAUCUUUCAGCGACUUUGACUCAGGAAAAGUCAGUUGCUUGAUUUUGCUACAGAAAAGGCCUUCCGGAUGAGCUGGCGUGAAGCAGAGCUGGGUUCCUUACGCACAUCUGUGUGAGAGGGCAGAGGUGUUUACCGGACUCGCGCUUCUCCUGGGCCAGCUCUGAGAGGAGAGACACACGAGUCCCCUUCUGUGGUGUUUAAAUGCACCUGACUGUGAUGUAAUAGGAAGCCAUUUUCAUGGCGGCUGAAGACAUGCCUGUAACACAAACAGCCAGUCCCGGGAGCAGUGUUCGCCACUCUUGCCAAGUCCUCGGUGAAAGGGGCAAGUGUGGACGCAUGUGUGGCAGAAGUCAGUUUUCUCCUUCCACUCUGUGGUCCCUGCGAUCAACACAGGCAUUCACGCUUGGUGUUGGGCACCUUGACUGGCCGAGCCAUCUCGCCAGAUGCAUUUCUCCAGUUUUGAUUUCACCAUUCUUCCUUCUAACAAUUAGGAGAAACUCUACUAAAGGGAGAUUCGGGUUUACUUAACUAAAUGGAGAACAUGUUUUCAAGCAAAUAUUUUGUAAUGAGCUAUGAGUAGCGUUGAUAUGAACGGUCAGCUGUUUUACAAUGGUGGUAGCCGUAUGUACAUCCUGUAGCAGAUGGAAUGUCUGCCUUCAGAGUGUAGAACAACUUCUAUUAGCCAAUCACAUUCAUUCUAAUUGCCCAUUAUCUCUCUUAUCUGGUUCAUUGUAACCAGAAGCAUCAUCAUUCUUAAUAAAAGUCCAGUUGCGUGUUU